rnacentral:rRNA from 1 species
GAAACUGCGAAUGGCUCAUUAAAUCAGUUAUCGUUUAUUUGAUAGUACCUUACUACUUGGAUAACCGUGGUAAUUCUAGAGCUAAUACAUGCUAAAAACCCCGACUUCGGAAGGGGUGUAUUUAUUAGAUAAAAGACCAAUGCUCUUCGGGGCUCCUUGGUGAUUCAUGAUAACUUAACGAAUCGCAUGGCCUUGUGCCGGCGAUGGUUCAUUCAAAUUUCUGCCCUAUCAACUUUCGAUGGUAGGAUAGUGGCCUACCAUGGUUUCAACGGGUAACGGGGAAUUAGGGUUCUAUUCCGGAGAGGGAGCCUGAGAAACGGCUACCACAUCCAAGGAAGGCAGCAGGCGCGCAAAUUACCCAAUCCCGACACGGGGAGGUAGUGACAAUAAAUACUGAUACAGGGCUCUUUUGAGUCUUGUAAUUGGAAUGAGUACAAUUUAAAUCCCUUAACGAGGAACAAUUGGAGGGCAAGUCUGGUGCCAGCAGCCGCGGUAAUUCCAGCUCCAAUAGCGUAUAUUAAAGUUGUUGCAGUUAAAAAGCUCGUAGUUGAACCUUGGGCCUGGCUGGCCGGUCCGCCUCAC